rnacentral:rRNA from 1 species
AGAGUUUGAUCAUGGCUCAGGAUGAACGCUAGCGGCAGGCUUAACACAUGCAAGUCGAGGGGUAAGGUAGCAAUAUCUGAGACCGGCGCACGGGUGCGUAACGCGUAUGCAACCUACCUUUUACAGGGGAAUAGCCCAGAGAAAUUUGGAUUAAUGCCCCAUGGUAUAAUUGAAUGGCAUCAUUUAAUUAUUAAAGUUCCAACGGUAAAAGAUGGGCAUGCGUCCUAUUAGCUAGAUGGUAAGGUAACGGCUUACCAUGGCUACGAUAGGUAGGGGUCCUGAGAGGGAGAUCCCCCACACUGGUACUGAGACACGGACCAGACUCCUACGGGAGGCAGCAGUGAGGAAUAUUGGACAAUGGGCGCAAGCCUGAUCCAGCCAUGCCGCGUGCAGGAAGACGCAUCUAUGGUGUGUAAACUGCUUUUGUACAGGAAGAAACAUCCCUACGUGUAGGGACUUGACGGUACUUAAGAAUAAG